rnacentral:rRNA from 1 species
GACGAACGCUGGCGGCGUGCUUAACACAUGCAAGUCGAACGGAAAGGCCCUGCUUUUGUGGGGUGCUCGAGUGGCGAACGGGUGAGUAACACGUGAGUAACCUGCCCUUGACUUUGGGAUAACUUCAGGAAACUGGGGCUACUACCGGAUAGGAGCUCCUGCUGCAUGGUGGGGGUUGGAAAGCUUCGGCGGUUGGGGAUGGACUCGCGGCUUAUCAGCUUGUUGGUGGGGUAGUGGCUUACCAAGGCUUUGACGGGUAGCCGGCCUGAGAGGGUGACCGGCCACAUUGGGACUGAGAUACGGCCCAGACUCCUACGGGAGGCAGCAGUGGGGAAUAUUGCACAAUGGGCGGAAGCCUGAUGCGGAAACGCCGCGUGCGGGAUGACGGCCUUCGGGUUGUAAACCGCUUUCGCCUGUGACGAAGCGUGAGUGACGGUAAUGGGUAAAGAAGCACCGGCUAACUACGUG